rnacentral:lncRNA from 1 species
AAAAAACUCAAAAAGACCCAAUCCAAAAAUGAACCCUCAGAAGCCUACUUGGAUAGCUGUGGCUAAUUAUCUUUGGAUUCUCAGUCCUGCCUGUAAGGCCAAACUGAUACUUUUGUAGUCAUUAUGACUUAAUGGAACUUUUUUUAUAUGGUUGCCUAGAAACCACUUUUUCAAGCCAAACGCCCUCCAAAACACACACAGCUUUCUCUUAGGGGAAGAUGCAGUUUUAAAUCUGGGCCAAAGACCUCAGGUGAAAAAGGUGACGGAUCCACAGGGAGAAAUCCAUAUUGAAUCAGAGGUUCUUGUAGAAGCAGGAGAAGGAGGUUACGCAGAGCCGGUUCUCAGCUUAGAUGUGGGGUCUGAAGUUAAAGCCGCACAUACGCCUUGGCAUCCGUGUCCAGGAGAGGCGGUGAAGGAGACGUCAGCAGGGGACCUGCUCUUCCGGCUCUAGUUCCAGAAUCCUGCCAAAAUGAAGUUUCGAAGGCAAAUGGGGUUUCUGGUUUCUACAGCAACCUCUUAUGAUUCCUGAAUAGAAAGAACGUUUAAUCCUCUCCUCACCGCUGGGAUUUCCCAGACUAAAUCAACGGUCCUUCGGGACAGCAAUAAAGUCAGCAAAAGCAAUUAUCCUCAGACAAGCAGACGGGCAGACUCUUGUCACUGCUCAUCCUGCAAUUCCAUGAGAAGGAUGAAGCCGAGGAUUUGUGUCUGAACGAAACUGCCCUUCCAUAACUCCAGGGCCCUGCCUCUCACAGCACCCAACUGGGUAAAGCCAAGAGCACCAUCUUUUGUUUUUUCAGCAAAUGACAGCUGUGCAUGGGAUUUGGAGCCAAGGUCUCACAGGGAUUUAGAAGUUCAGCAGGUGCAGUACUAUCAAAAGGUCUGCAUUUCUGAACACUGGCUCAUUCAAACGCCAGAGAUGAUGCAGCCAUUUUAAUUUUUCUAAAAGAAGCUUCUCAGGAACACAGGACCAUAGGACAAGAACAACUCUUCCUCCUCCUCCUCCUCCUCCUUCUUUGGCAAGAUAGAGGAAGAUGGAAAAAUAUAAGGCCAGUGUGUAAUGAGGAAAAACUUUAAUGACAACUCAAGAUCUGACAAAGAUUGUACAAGAGCAAGCAGUAGAAUCAAAAUGUCUUUGCUCAUGGUAUCCACAAUGUUCUUCUUGCAUUUAAAUUUCUUCAAGUAAAAAGAAAUAUAUUCAUUCUUUGCUCAUUAUGGUCCCAGCAGAUAGUACUUAUAUUUCUUACUAAAACUCUUCAAGUAGUGCAAAAAAGAAGAUGGACUGAGAAAAACCAAGCCAUAAAAGUGUUAUCUAUCAGCAGUUUUGUUAAAAAGCCAUCAUUAAGAAAGAAAAAAUGUAAAUUGUAGAAAUGAGGUCACAAUUUAAUUGAUAUAAAUUGCAGCCACCUGCUCAUCCCAUUUCCAGGAG